AGACCCGAAACCCGGUGAUCUAGCCAUGGGCAGGUUGAAGGUUGGGUAACACUAACUGGAGGACCGAACCGACUAAUGUUGAAAAAUUAGCGGAUGACCUGUGGCUGGGGGUGAAAGGCCAAUCAAACCGGGAGAUAGCUGGUUCUCCCCGAAAGCUAUUUAGGUAGCGCCUCGUGAAUUCAUCUCCGGGGGUAGAGCACUGUUUCGGCUAGGGGGCCAUCCCGGCUUACCAACCCGAUGCAAACUGCGAAUACCGGAGAAUGUUAUCACGGGAGACACACGGCGGGUGCUAACGUCCGUCGUGAAGAGGGAAACAACCCAGACCGCCAGCUAAGGUCCCAAAGUCAUGGUUAAGUGGGAAACGAUGUGGGAAGGCCCAGACAGCCAGGAUGUUGGCUUAGAAGCAGCCAUCAUUUAAAGAAAGCGUAAUAGCUCACUGGUCGAGUCGGCCUGCGCGGAAGAUGUAACGGGGCUAAACCAUGCACCGAAGCUGCGGCAGCGAACGUAUCACUUAAAGCGAUUCAGCGGGUUACGAUUGACGGAGCGAAGCGACGUCAAAGCGUAUACAAAGUCGAGUCGGUUUAAGGAUACGUUCGUUGGGUAGGGGAGCGUUCUGUAAGCCUGUGAAGGUGUGUCGUGAGGCAUGCUGGAGGUAUCAGAAGUGCGAAUGCUGACAUAAGUAACGAUAAAGCGGGUGAAAAGCCCGCUCGCCGGAAGACCAAGGGUUCCUGUCCAACGUUAAUCGGGGCAGGGUGAGUCGACCCCUAAGGCGAGGCCGAAAGGCGUAGUCGAUGGGAAACGGGUUAAUAUUCCCGUACUUGGUGUUACUGCGAAGGGGGGACGGAGAA
rnacentral:rRNA from 1 species